AGUGAACGCUGGCGGCAGGCCUAACACAUGCAAGUCGAGCGGCAGCGCGUCCGACCACCCUCGGGUGGUCGGAUGGCGGCGAGCGGCGGACGGGUGAGGAAUGCAUCGGAAUCUGCCUCGUUGUGGGGGAUAACGUAGGGAAACUUACGCUAAUACCGCAUACGUCCUACGGGAGAAAGGGGGGGAUCUUCGGACCUCUCGCUAAUAGAUGAGCCUAGGCCGGAUUAGCUAGUUGGUAGGGUAAAGGCCUACCAAGGCGACGAUCUGUAGCUGGUCUGAGAGGAUGGCCAGCCACACUGGAACUGAGACACGGUCCAGACUCCUACGGGAGGCAGCAGUGGGGAAUAUUGGACAAUGGGGGCAACCCUGAUCCAGCCAUGCCGCGUGUGAAGAAGGCCUCGGUUGUAAGANACUUAAGUACGAGGAGGAAGGUUUUAGGUUUUAAGUUAACU
rnacentral:rRNA from 1 species